rnacentral:rRNA from 1 species
AUUGAACGCUGGCGGAAUGCUUUACACAUGCAAGUCGAACGGCAGCACGGUGGCAGCCCUGGUGGCGAGUGGCGAACGGGUGAGUAAUACAUCGGAACGUGCCCGGUCGUGGGGGAUAACGUAGCGAAAGUUACGCUAAUACCGCAUACGAUCUGAGGAUGAAAGCGGGGGACCUUCGGGCCUCGCGCGAUCGGAGCGGCCGAUGUCAGAUUAGGUAGUUGGUGGGGUAAAGGCCUACCAAGCCGACGAUCUGUAGCUGGUCUGAGAGGACGACCAGCCACACUGGGACUGAGACACGGCCCAGACUCCUACGGGAGGCAGCAGUGGGGAAUUUUGGACAAUGGGCGCAAGCCUGAUCCAGCCAUUCCGCGUGCAGGACGAAGGCCUUCGGGUUGUAAACUGCUUUUGUACGGAACGAAAAGGCUCUGGCUAAUACCUGGGGCUCAUGACGGUACCGUAAGAAUAAGCACCGGCUAACUACGUG